rnacentral:rRNA from 1 species
GACGAACGCUGGCGGCGUGCUUAACACAUGCAAGUCGAACGGAAAGGCCCUGCUUUUGUGGGGUGCUCGAGUGGCGAACGGGUGAGUAACACGUGAGUAACCUGCCCUUGACUUUGGGAUAACUUCAGGAAACUGGGGCUAAUACCGGAUAGGAGCUCCUGCGGCAGGGUGGGGGUGGGAAAGUUUCGGCGGUUGGGGAUGGACUCGCGGCUUAUCAGCUUGUUGGUGGGGUAGUGGCUUACCAAGGCUUUGACGGGUAGCCGGCCUGAGAGGGUGACCGGCCACAUUGGGACUGAGAUACGGCCCAGACUCCUACGGGAGGCAGCAGUGGGGAAUAUUGCACAAUGGGCGGAAGCCUGAUGCAGCAACGCCGCGUGCGGGAUGACGGCCUUCGGGUUGUAAACCGCUUUCGCCUGUGACGAAGCGUGAGUGACGGUAAUGGGUAAAGAAGCACCGGCUAACUACGUG